rnacentral:rRNA from 1 species
UGCCAGCCGCCGCGGUAAUACGGAGGGGGUUAGCGUUGUUCGGAAUUAUUGGGCGUAAAGCGCGUGUAGGCGGUUCGUUAAGUCUGAUGUGAAAGCCCGGGGCUCAACCCCGGAAGUGCAUUGGAAACUGGCGAACUUGAGUACGGGAGAGGAAAGUGGAAUUCCGAGUGUAGGGGUGAAAUCCGUAGAUAUUCGGAGGAACACCAGUGGCGAAGGCGGCUUUCUGGCCUAAUACUGACACUGAGGCGCGAAAGCGUGGGGAGCAAACAGGAUUAGAUA